ACGAACGCUGGCGGCAGGCUUAACACAUGCAAGUCGAGCGCCCCGCAAGGGGAGCGGCAGACGGGUGAGUAACGCGUGGGAAUCUACCGAGCCCUAAGGAAUAGCUCCGGGAAACUGGAAUUAAUACCUUAUACGCCCUUCGGGGGAAAGAUUUAUCGGGGUUUGAUGAGCCCGCGUUGGAUUAGCUAGUUGGUGGGGUAAAGGCCUACCAAGGCGACGAUCCAUAGCUGGUCUGAGAGGAUGAUCAGCCACAUUGGGACUGAGACACGGCCCAAACUCCUACGGGAGGCAGCAGUGGGGAAUAUUGGACAAUGGGCGCAAGCCUGAUCCAGCCAUGCCGCGUGAGUGAUGAAGGCCCUAGGGUUGUAAAGCUCUUUCACCGGUGAAGAUAAUGACGGUAACCGGAGAAGAAGCCCCGGCUAACUUCGU
rnacentral:rRNA from 1 species